ensembl:lincRNA
AUGAGAAGGGAUAGCUACCAUCUUUUGAGCAGCAUGAAGGCAAUUGCUUCCUGGCUGCACCUACACCACAGUUUUGUCCAGGCUCUCCAUCAUCCAGACGUAAUGGAAGACCCAGAACCCGUGGCAGAUCCAGCUGACCAGCACCAUGUCAGACACUUCCCAGGCCCCACUUUCUGUCUGCCCUCCUUCCAUGUUUCAGGUUCCAGCUGCUCUGCAGGAAGCAGCUCUGUAUGGCUUCAGCUGGCCUCAGGCAGGAGCAGCCAAGCAGUGCUUUGUCUCUGUGUGCCCUCUGCCUGGGGUUCUCAGUCGGCUGAGGCAGGUUGCACAGAUUUAGUCCUCUCAGUGCCAGGAGGAUGGAGCAUUGCUUCCUGGGAGGUAAACUUCCAUCUGGUAGGACACAGGGUGGCCGGCUGGAGGCCCACUGUGUCACCUUAGCUCUUCCUUUUUUCAGUCUUGUGUCCUGGAUUGCACUCCCUGUGAGACGGGACCCGCUGGCUCUGCUCAGGCUCUGCCUUCUGGGUCUUCCAAACGAAAACAAGUGCACACCACUGGUGGAUAUUCCAUCUCCCUGCUUUCAUCUCCUCGUGAGGGUGCUUGGAAGAAUAAGCACAGAUCGUGUAGGGGACAGCAUUUGUGGAGGGCAGCGUCGCUGCAUUAUCCUGUUCCCCAUCAGGGCUCAACUUCAGGUUCCAUACUUUUUGGGUUUCCUACCAUCUAUUAUGUGCCAUGCCCUACAGCAAAGCAACACUAUCUGCUAGCCUUGACUCCUUGCAGUUGUUUGGUAUUUUUUCUUCAUUGUCGUACUUGGCUGGUCCUCCUUGCAACUAAGUCAAUAUGCACUUUGUGCAUCUCACUAACUCUUACUGGUGUGCCCUUAUUCGUUUUGUGCACACUUGGGACAUGUCUCUGUCAGUUGAAGCUUAUCAUCUCUGAGAAGUCUUCUUAAUUACCAGUGCUCCAUUACAAUACCCAAGUGAUGAGAUCUCACUUUAUUUUCAAACCAUUUAUGGGCUGAAGUGGGAUUUGGUAUAUGAGCAAGUGACCAAAGUAAUUCAAAAGGUAUACCUUUAUAAUUAUAUCGGAACUGAAAUGUUUGCUAUAAGAUAGAAUUUGGUAUUUGUCACAUUUGAUGCAUGUGUCACUUGGGUUUUUUUGGUUGCCAUCUUAAGCAUAGGCAGAAUUUAUUGGAAAGUUAUUGAGACUCAGAAUCAACAAGAAGCUAGAUAUCUGACUUGGAAAAUGGGUGGGAAGCAAGGGAGUGUUCUAGGCAAUGGAAACUGUACCAUUCAUUUGCUCAAUCAAUAAACAUUUAGUGAGCAUUUACUAUAUGCCAGGAAUUUUUACUAGUUUCCUGUUGGUGGUCAUUUGGAUUUCAAUCUGUUGCUGUUAUAAACAAUAUAAUAACAAAAUAAGAAAUUUAAAAAUUCAUUUUCUAAAUUGUAUUUCUUUAAUGAAAUCUUCUUGACUAAGCUUACUGCAAUUAAGCUCUUCAUUUGGGAGGUAUAUAUUUUCAGUACAGGUUUUUUGAACAGUAUAUAAUCCUGCACUGUACAAUGCCCACCUUCUUCCUUUGAAUGAUGUAUUGACUUUUGAAAAUGAGUCAUUAAAGCAAGAUAUUUAUGAUUCGUGGAAAUGUCUCAAGGUUCACUUU